GGGGUUAUAGCUCAGUGGUAGAGUGCUUGCCUCACACGCAUGAGGCACAGAGUUCAAUCCUCAGCACCA
rnacentral:tRNA from 1 species